UAAUGUAUCGGAACGUGCCCACGUCUGGGGGAUAACUGCUCGAAAGAGCAGCUAAUACCGCAUACGACCUGAGGGUGAAAGCGGGGGAGUCGCAAGACCUCGCGCGAUUGGAGCGGCCGAUAUCAGAUUAGGUAGUUGGUGAGGUAAAGGCUCACCAAGCCGACGAUCUGUAGCUGGUCUGAGAGGACGACCAGCCACACUGGGACUGAGACACGGCCCAG
rnacentral:rRNA from 1 species